rnacentral:rRNA from 1 species
UACGUAGGGGGGCAAGCGUUGUCCGGAUUUAUUGGGCGUAAAGAGCGUGUAGGCGGCCGCACAGGUCCGUUGUGAAAACUGGAGGCUUAACCUUCAGACGUCGAUGGAAACCGUGCGGCUAGAGUCCGGAAGAGGAGAAUGGAAUUCCUGGUGUAGCGGUGAAAUGCGCAGAUAUCAGGAAGAACACCCGUGGCUAAGGCGGUUCUCUAGUACGGUACUGACGCUGAGACGCGAAAGCGUGGGGGGGAGCGAACAGG